CAAUUUUCAUGUCAAUAUGCUGAUGAUCUAUAGAAAGCUCAAUACGCGAUCUUGCUCAGUGGAACUCCUGCAUUGUCACGACCAAUUGAACUAUUCAAGCAGUUGCAAGCCUUGUAUCCGGAGGUGUAUAAGAACGUUCAUGAAUAUGGUAGUCGUUAUUGCAAGGGUGGUAUAUUUGGAGUCUAUCAAGGUGCAAGUAAUCAUGAAGAGCUGCAUAAUUUGAUGAAAGCGACCUUAAUGAUUCGAAGACUCAAGAAAGAUGUUCUUUCUCAGCUUCCUGUGAAGCGCAGGCAACAGGU